UACGUAGGGUGCGAGCGUUGUCCGGAAUUAUUGGGCGUAAAGAGCGCGCAGGUGGUUAAUUAAGUCUGAUGUGAAAGCCCACGGCUUAACCGUGGAGGGUCAUUGGAAACUGGUCGACUUGAGUGCAGAAGAGGAGAGUGGAAUUCCAUGUGUAGCGGUGAAAUGCGUAGAUAUAUGGAGGAACACCAGUGGCGAAGGCGACUCUCUGGUCUGUAACUGACGCUGAAGCUCGAAAGCGUGGGGAGCAAACAGGAUUAGA
rnacentral:rRNA from 1 species